ACACACACGCACACACAUAGCUGCACCACUUGUGCUUCUCUAUUCAACAGCCGAUUGGGGAAUCUUGUCCUAAUGGGACCUCCGGUUAGCAGAGUAGUCUGCUCACAGGAACUGAGGUGAUUCGAGGUCCAAGGAGGGAGCGUGAAGCUUAAUCACACGUCUAGGAUGACAGCUACGUGUCAUCUGACCAAACCGCUGACAACAACAGAUGUUCCAACAGAGGAACAUCAAGGAGGAGAAAAGGUGUGAAUAUGACAUCUGGAUUGCCACCUACUGAGGGUGGUCAUGACUGUGCAGAAGUAGCUAGGAAGGAGACGAAGGUGACGAACGCAGAGACAGCCGCCAGCCAAGGGAAGCAGGUGAAAGGUAAAGCGGGAGCCACUUGGCAUCAUCUCACACAUUGUGCACCUGCUAAGGCACCAAGCCAGACCCUUGCGGAGACCCGAUUAAAUACCAG
ensembl:lncRNA